rnacentral:rRNA from 1 species
GCCGUAAACGGUGGGUACUAGGUGUGGGUUUCCUUCCUUGGGAUCCGUGCCGUAGCUAACGCAUUAAGUACCCCGCCUGGGGAGUACGGCCGCAAGGCUAAAACUCAAAGAAAUUGACGGGGGCCCGAACAAGCGGCGGAGCAUGUGGAUUAAUUCGAUGCAACGCGAAGAACCUUACCUGGGUUUGACAUGCACAGGACGACUGCAGAGAUGUGGUUUCCCUUGUGGCCUGUGUGCAGGUGGUGCAUGGCUGUC